UCCCGGUCGCGAGCACAUGGAAUGAGGUCGAGAUUUGUGUCUGUGAGACACGCGACUGAUCAUCAGCAGCAGCUACAGCAGCAGCAGAGAAAACAAACAAACAAACGGAAUAAAAGCACCGGAGCUGCGACAGAACCGAGCCCGAACAUGAAGGGUUGGCGCUGCAGACCCCCUGAUGCUGCGGAUGCGGCAGAUGCUGCUGCUGGACUCCAAGACAAGUGCAGAUAUUGAUCUGCAUAAUGAGGAGGCAAAGAUUUUCCAACCAAGUGAGUCAAUGUGUGCUCACUACACUGAAGCUGGCCCUGUCUGCUCUGCAUCACUGCCUCCUGUUUACACCUGCAGAGAGUGAAAAUCAAUUUUUGCUUUGUGGACAAAACGACCCAUCAUUUUGAGAUCUUCCCUCCGCUCCCUCCUUGCAGAGAGUCUGUGGAUUAAAAAGUGUCCAGACAUGCUGCAGCUUCUAAAGGUUGACAUUUCAACAAAAGAUAACCCUGAAGAUGCAGUAUGCUGAAACGCCAUUCUUCAGAGUUCAACAUUGUUCGGUUUGAUUCCGGUGUCGGACGUCACGCUCGUGACUCCUCCAGUGACGACACUCUCGGCUCAGCUCGCUUGGAACCUCGCCAGAGCAGGUGGGUUGCCUUAAACUGCUGCAAAAUGUGUUCCACCAGUCAGCACACAGCCCCGCCCCUCUCGUCUGAAAAGUCCCUCAUCUGGGAGGAAACCUGGAGAACCUGGAGAGGAGAUGCACACACAGGGAGAACAAGCAAACUCCAACCGGGUCGUGAACCUGGAUCUACUUGCUGUAAAAGGAGCUGUCACUUAGUGUGGACAUUGUCCCUUCAGUGUGUGUGGCUAUAUGAAGCGUCUGAUGUCCACUCCGGGCCACUUGUCUAUGAUGUGAAUGGGAAGACAAUGAGACCCCCAGUGGCUCCUUCUCUCCGUGACCCGCAUGGGGUCUGAUUUGCCUUGGCAAGGGGGACAGAGGCCCAAAACAAAGCUGAAGGAUUCUCCGGUGAAGGGGUGCAGAGGUCACCCUCAACGCCCAACUAACAGGCCUGUCCUCUAGUUCGGGCUCCUAAAUGGGGAAGGGACACAGAGGCGUAGAGACAAUGGGAUAAAAGGGACCUCCAAAGCCAUUAAAUUCUGAGGAAGUGAUGGCCGUGAAUGAUGACAGAGACUGAAUAGAGACUCUUGAGGUGGGAGGCCUCUCUUCUCCAAACGAGGAGACAAUUCCAGAUUGAUGCAGGAGUCCCGGUCCGGCCUGUAAAGAUCCCUGCUGUGAACCUCAACGCAAGGAGACAACAUGACACCACCAGGGCCCCUUUAGAGAUACGUCGCUUUUACGAAGGCAGUCAACUCCGAGGUGAAGUCCCUCCCCGUUCCAACUUCCGAUCAGCGCUCAGCCCAUUCUGCAAAAAGCCCAUUAAUCUCCUUGACCCUGAAAAAUGUACCUGUUUCAUCUCAAAGGAGAGGAAUAUUCUUGCCUUUUCUUCUCUUACAGUCCGUCUGCAUAUUUCUGCUUCAUUGGAAAGACCAAAAACCUCCAUCCCUCAAUUCUUGGCUAAAAUAUCUGAUAUCUUUCUUACACUGUAUGAGGAGCUGCUCUGACAAAACUUGGGAUCCUAUUCUCUUUUAUCUUAAGGCCAUUUCUGUAAGAAUGGUCAUACUUCAUGUAACGCACUCUGAUAUCCAUUUUAUCACUUCCCUUUAUUUAUUUUUAAUUUCUUUACACAUAUUUUGUAUUUUAUGUUAUUAUUUUUGAAUGUGAACGUUUAAAAUCAGUUAAAUGUCAAAGUUAGUGCAUUUUAUUCUGAAAAACCCUCCCUCUGUUACAGUGUAUGUCUACAUUUUUAUUUUUUUUGAUGUGGAUGACUGUGUCAGGGUCACGGUCAGGAGGUCUCCACCCUGUUGGUGAUUGACCUCAUUGUUCAUGGACGACCUCCCUCUGUGUUAUUGAGACAUGCUCGUCGUCUCCAUUAUGCAACCUAAUAAGGUUGUUUGCUUUAUUAACUCCUAUUAACAUUUAUUUGCCUCUUUUACUUUUAGUCAUUGAACACUUUUAACCACUGUCACCUUCUCAGUCACAGCAUAGGGUUGCAGAUUGAUUGGUUUCCCAUUUAUUUAUCUAAGUUUCACAUUUGUUUUUUACGUUACUGGGGCUACAGUUUUUUUGCAAAUUCCGUCUUGGUGCUUUCCAAAAGAUUCCUGAAGUUUGCAUUUGAAAGCUUUCAAGCAUUUGAGAUGAUCAUUAAAGCAUAAAGUGACAUUUUUACGGAAUUAAACUGUCUUUUUUGGCAUCCGUUUUUCAAAAAUAUCUGAUACCAGCAAGCAAUCAGGUCUUGUGAUUUGCUCAUGUACUUCCACAGAAUUGAAAAAACAGAUUAAAAGAAAAUUGCAGCGUGUAUUUCAUGUAUAUAUGUAUAUAUUCAUGUAUUACAGUGCAGCGCCCCUGUUAAACAGUGCAUCUUGUAACACACCCCAGAAUAGUUCUCAUUAUGUUAUGCAAAUGUGAAACAACUUUAUCCACUUUCUAUUAAUGUUGAGGACGGGAAAUCCGGGAAACCUCAUGUUUGAUCAAUGUUUGUUGAAAGGAGUCGCACGUUUCUCGGCCAUGUCUGCUCUCAGUUUAAACUUAGACACCCAACAAUCAAGUAAACACAAAACAAUUUACUGAAACUCUCUCCCUCUGUCUGUGUGUGUGUGUGUGUGUGUGUGCAUUCUGCUACAUCAGUCUAAUAAUAGGAGCCCUUCAUUUCCUGCUGGGAUAAUUGGCCUAAGUGCUGCACCUCCUCCUGGUGUCACUGGUCUGAACUGUGGUGGUCCAAACAAACUAACAUCUGGCCAACGUACACUGAGUUCAGAUACUGGGAAACAUUUAAAGAUGAUGUUCUCAGCCAAGGAGUCCCUAUAAGAUUAAAAAUAUACAUAUAUUCUUUAGUUUCCUUGUGUAUUUCCCUUAAAAUGAUGAUUAUAAAGUGUAGGAAAUUAUCAAUAUACAGUAUGUCUUGAGAAUAUGGAUGGGUGUUUGCCAAAGAAACCCCUUGAAGAUCCACUGAUUUUACAGGGGAAACAUUAGGACUAAAAAUGGAAGUGAAGUUUACGGAUCAAGCUGUGUCUGUCUCAGAUUCUUUAACCUUUUCCUUUAAAAACAAAAGGAUUCUCAAGUGUGAAGCAAAGGGUUAAAAAAAGAAAACCUGAAGAGCCUGAGACGAGCACAGCUUGAACCGUGACCUAUACGCUUCCCCUCUUUUUCUUAAUGUUUCCCCUUAAUUACGUCGGGGAACAUGAAGAAAAGGAGGGGAAGUGUAGAUUAUUGUAGAUUAUGGAUCAGGCCGUGUCAUCAGGUUCUUUAACCCUUUGCUUUCAAGGCAAAACUAGAAGAGCUGAUGCAACAAGAGUUCAUAUUCUCAAAGAUGAAAGUAGAGUUUGGAGAAAAAAUGAAAUUAAUGUGAGAAUCUGGUUGAAAUUAAGUUCAGCUUUGUGCAAAAAGGAAAUAUAAGGUCUAGGCUUAGGGUGAGGACUAAUCAUUGUGGGGCUUACUUAUUCACCAUGUGGAGGCCAAAGCUUAGAAGUUGUUUUUACACUGCUGUUCACAUGGUUGAGGGUUUUUUUUACAUUUUAACUGUGCAGUUUCAUCGGUUUGAAUCAAAAUUCAGAAAGGAUUGUCAAAGUAAAUCUCACAAAUUUGUGCAACAAAUGUGCUCAGACGAGUUCGCUCAUUUAUUUCCAAAAUUUGUGUUCAUCUUGGUCUAAAACAUCUUCCCACCAAGUUUCGGGAAAUUUGGUGGAACUUGGGGGGGCGCUAUAGAGCCCUUGAGAAACACACGGGUCCAUGAACUAUGCCAAUAUCGCAUUUUUGUCAAACCUGACCUCCAUGCAAAGUUUCAAGAGUUUCUAUACACAUUAAGCCUCUCAAACAUGACCGCAAAGAGCCGUUUCGGCCCCUGGCAUUCGUGGCUCGGGCCCUAAUAAUCCUUUGUCUUUCGGCUUCUCCCUCUCCAGUUGUCACCAUAGCGAAUCUGGGACAUUUUUUAGCAUGUUUGUCACACUUAAAUGUUUCAGAUUAUCAAACAAAUUUAAAUAUUGGACAAAGAUAACCCAAGUAAACACAAAAUGCAGUUUUUAAGUGAUGAUUUUAUUUGUUAUGGGG